rnacentral:rRNA from 1 species
AGAUUGAACGCUGGCGGCAGGCCUAACACAUGCAAGUCGAGCGGUAGAGAGGUGCUUGCACCUCUUGAGAGCGGCGGACGGGUGAGUAAUGCCUAGGAAUCUGCCUAGUGGUGGGGGAUAACGUUCGGAAACGGACGCUAAUACCGCAUACGUCCUACGGGAGAAAGCGGGGGACCUUCGGGCCUCGCGCCAUUAGAUGAGCCUAGGUCGGAUUAGCUAGUUGGUGAGGUAAUGGCUCACCAAGGCGACGAUCCGUAACUGGUCUGAGAGGAUGAUCAGUCACACUGGAACUGAGACACGGUCCAGACUCCUACGGGAGGCAGCAGUGGGGAAUAUUGGACAAUGGGCGAAAGCCUGAUCCAGCCAUGCCGCGUGUGUGAAGAAGGCCUUCGGAUUGUAAAGCACUUUAAGUUGGAGGAAGGUUGUAACUUAAUACGUUGCAACUUUGACGUUACCGACAGAAUAAGCACCGGCUAACUUCGUGCCAGCAGCCGCGUAAC